rnacentral:lncRNA from 1 species
UUUGUUUUCACAUCUUUUGAAAGAUAAGUGAAAUUCCUUCAGAGUCCACACCCAUGCUUUUAUAAACCUCUGAUACACUAACAAAUCCAAAGAAAAAUUGAAAACAAGCGAGAAAAAGGAGACAGAAAAUGCACAAGAUACACCGCCCUUUUUGUUUGUUUGUGAUUCAGGGCUCAGGAUUGACUGGGUCCUCGGGAGGGGACUCGAGGGCAGAAGGAUCUAUUAAUCUUACAACUAUGUGUUUCAUUUUCCAAGUGGUCAGUUUUUUAGGUUACUUUAUGAAAAACUGAAAUGGAACACAGAAUAUGAACAAUUUCUCAGGGUAAGAGCAGCUAGAUGUAAAAAUAACAUAAUGCAAUUAAAGAAGAAAUCUUCCAGCAAAUAGAACCCCAUUUCGGGGAUUUUCACCGUGGGCGUGAGGGUCACACAAGACUGAAGCCCGCCCAGGAGCAGGCGAGGUCACUGCAGGUGGUCAGUUACAGAGCUCUGCGUCAUAGCCCUCUGGCCCCAGACAAAAUUCACUCAUCUAUACAUUUGCUUGAAAAUGCAUUAUUUGAUAUUCAUUUUGUAUACUUAAAUACAAAAUGAAAUGUAACCUGAUAUUGAAAAUAAAAACUCCAGGCAACGUCUACAUUUCUAUGUAUUUAGUCUUUUCAAGGUCUACAUUUUAAAAGCAAGAAAUGAACAAAGUUAGGAAUACAUUAUUACUCUGGCA